rnacentral:rRNA from 1 species
GACGAACCGUCCAAACGUUAUUCGGAAUCACUGGGCUUAAAGGGUGCGUAGGCGGCGCGGCAAGUUGGGUGUGAAAUACCUCGGCUUAACCGAGGAACUGCGCCCAAAACUGCCGUGCUUGAGGAAGAUAGAGGUGAGCGGAACUUAGGGUGGAGCGGUGAAAUGCGUUGAUAUCCUAAGGAACACCGGUGGCGAAAGCGGCUCACUGGAUCUUUUCUGACGCUGAGGCACGAAAGCUAGGGGAGCGAACGGG